GACGAACGCUGGCGGCGUGCUUAACACAUGCAAGUCGAACGGAAAGGCCCUGCUUUUGUGGGGUGCUCGAGUGGCGAACGGGUGAGUAACACGUGAGUAACCUGCCCUUGACUUUGGGAUAACUUCAGGAAACUGGGGCUAAUACCGGAUAGGAGCUCCUGCUGCAUGGUGGGGGUUGGAAAGUUUCGGCGGUUGGGGAUGGACUCGCGGCUUAUCAGCUUGUUGGUGGGGUAGUGGCUUACCAAGGCUUUGACGGGUAGCCGGCCUGAGAGGGUGACCGGCCACAUUGGGACUGAGAUACGGCCCAGACUCCUACGGGAGGCAGCAGUGGGGAAUAUUGCACGAUGGGCGGAAGCCUGAUGCAGCAACGCCGCGUGCGGGAUGACGGCCUUCGGGUUGUAAACCGCUUUCGCCUGUGACGAAGCGUGAGUGACGGUAAUGGGUAAAGAAGCACCGGCUAACUACGUGCCAGCAGCCGCGGUGAUACGUAGGGUGCGAGCGUUGUCCGGAUUUAUUGGGCGUAAAGGGCUCGUAGGUGGUUGAUCGCGUCGGAAGUGUAAUCUUGGGGCUUAACCCUGAGCGUGCUUUCGAUACGGGUUGACUUGAGGAAGGUAGGGGAGAAUGGAAUUCCUGGUGGAGCGGUGGAAUGCGCAGAUAUCAGGAGGAACACCAGUGGCGAAGGCGGUUCUCUGGGCCUUUCCUGACGCUGAGGAGCGAAAGCGUGGGGAGCGAACAGGCUUAGAUACCCUGGUAGUCCACGCUGUAAACGGUGGGUACUAGGUGUGGGGUCCAUUCCACGGGUUCCGUGCCGUAGCUAACGCUUUAAGUACCCCGCCUGGGGAGUACGGCCGCAAGGCUAAAACUCAAAGGAAUUGACGGGGCCCCGCACAAGCGGCGGAGCAUGCGGAUUAAUUCGAUGCAACGCGUAGAACCUUACCUGGGUUUGACAUGGAUCGGGAGUGCUCAGAGAUGGGUGUGCCUCUUUUGGGGUCGGUUCACAGGUGGUGCAUGGCUGUCGUCAGCUCGUGUCGUGAGAUGUUGGGUUAAGUCCCGCAACGAGCGCAACCCUUGUUCACUGUUGCCAGCACGUUAUGGUGGGGACUCAGUGGAGACCGCCGGGGUCAACUCGGAGGAAGGUGGGGAUGACGUCAAGUCAUCAUGCCCCUUAUGUCCAGGGCUUCACGCAUGCUACAAUGGCUGGUACAGAGAGAGGCGAGCCUGUGAGGGUGAGCGAAUCUCGGAAAGCCGGUCUCAGUUCGGAUUGGGGUCUGCAACUCGACCUCAUGAAGUCGGAGUCGCUAGUAAUCGCAGAUCAGCAACGCUGCGGUGAAUACGUUCCCGGG
rnacentral:rRNA from 1 species